rnacentral:misc_RNA from 1 species
GAUGAAGAACGUAGCUAAAUGCGAUAAGUAGUGUGAAUUGCAGAAUUCAGUGAAUCAUCGAAUCUUUGAACGCACAUUGCGCCCCCUGGUAUUCCGGGGGGCAUGCCUGUCCGAGCGUCAUUACAACCCUCAAGCUCAGCUUGGUGUUGGGCCCCGCCGCCCCGGCGGGCCCUAAAGUCAGUGGCGGUGCCGUCCGGCUCCGAGCGUAGUAAUUCUUCUCGCUCUGGAGGUCCGGUCGUGUGCUCGCCAGCAACCCCCAAUUUUUUUCAGGUUGACCUCGGAUCAGGUAGGGAUACCCGCUGAACUUAAGCAUAUCAAUAAGCGAGGA